CACAAUGUGUGCUUUGGGUGGAGAUGAGUCUACCUCCAGCUCCAAAGGAGGCAUCUGAUUUAGCCCUGAACCUCUUUUUUGACCACAAAGUUGGAUGCAUAGCACAGCCAUCUUUUCAUCACAAUGGGACAGCCUGUCUGAGAAUGAGGCCAAUGCAAAGAAGAAAGUGGAGCCCACGUACAGAGAGAUGAUACAUUGAUGAUAUCAUGUGUCCUAGAUUCAUGCUUCAUAUGAAGUGUCACCCCACUGGAUAUGACCUGUUACUUCCAUGAUGGAUUGAGCAGCCGAAGUUCUUCAGCCUGCCUCUCUAUUAUGGAGACUCCCUGGUACUUGACAAAAUGCAUCAGUGAGGUUCUGAUGACCUGGGUGGGCCUCCCUUGCUGCUUGAAUGGCCAUGUGCACACAAAAGCAAAUGGUGUUAAAGGAUAUGGAUGAAGCAAGUGACUUUCCCUGAACAAUGGACCUGAAAAGACAUGGAGAAGCUCACAGAGGGCACUGGAGACGUGUCAGCAGAACUUAGAGAAGCUGCUCAGCACACCCCAAGCACAGAGGCAAAUAUGAAAACAAAUGGAGGAUUUGCAAAGGGAUGGCUGUUCACCAAGAAGAACAGUGGAAGAGAAGUGGAGUCCUAGCAGGAGGGCUGUGAAUUUUGUGUAGGGUCCAGAUUAGGGCAGAGGAAGCACACGUGCUCACAAAUUUUCUGUAUGAAAAGGGGCUUGAGCACAAGAUUGAGAGAGCUGAAGUAUGUAGUAGACUCUAUUUUUGCCUGCCUGACAUCUAUUCCUCUUUUAAUGGUGUUUCCUCCUGUUUUGUGUUGGUGAACCUCUGUUUUCCUAUACUCAAAUUACGUUGGUGAGAUGAGGGUGUGGUGUCCUUCCCUCAGCUCCAGGGAUUGAAAUGAACCUCAUGAAUGGUUCAGAGAAUCACAUCAUACCAGAUAUGAUUUUUUUUCUAAGGUAGACACAACCCACUCCUAUUAAAGACAAUGAGACAAUACAAUCCAAUUCCAUUUUUGGGGUUGGGGGGUAGAAUUGCUGGGAAACAAAAAACAAAACAAUUUUUUUUUUCUGCUGAACUUUAAGCUCUUUUGCUAUAAGUCUGUAGCUGCACAGGGCCAUCAUACACAGGAACUGGAUUCAAAAUGAAGCCACAACAGAAAGCAACUAGAUCAGAAAGAUGCAACAUGGCCAAUUACUAAUACAAUUGUCUGAGUUCCUGAAUCCACACUUGCCUAGACUUACUAGCUAAGUUGGCUAAUGAGUCAUAUUGUGUGUUUAAAUGUGUCUGGGUUAGAUUUCUGUCACUGCUAAGCAAGUGUUCUGACUUAUACAAAGUAUCAAAACAUUGUUCUUAGGCUAUACAACCCCCUUGCCCCCUAACUCACACUACAACCCAUGAAUUAUAGCCUAAAUCAA
rnacentral:lncRNA from 1 species